UACGGGGGGAGCAAGCGUUGUUCGGAUUUACUGGGCGUAAAGGGCGCGUAGGCGGCCACCGCAAGUCAGUUUGUGAAAUCUCUGGGCUUAACCCAGAAAGGUCAACUGAUACUGCGGGGCUAGAGUGCAGGAAGGGGCAACUGGAAUUCUCGGUGGUAGCGGUGAAAUGCGUAGAUAUCGAGAGGAACACCUGCGGCGAAGGCGGGUUGCUGGGCUGACACUGACGCUGAAGCGCGAAAGCUAGGGGAGCGAACGGG
rnacentral:rRNA from 1 species